rnacentral:rRNA from 1 species
UAUCUCUGUAGAGUCUGCAUAUCAAUAAGCGGAGGAAAAGAAACUAACAAGGAUUCCCUUAGUAACGGCGAGUGAAGCGGGAAGAGCUCAAAUUUGAAAUCUUCAAGGUUCUACCUUGACGAAUUGUAGUCUAUAGAAGUGUUUUCUGUUAGUGGAGUGGCAAAAGUUCUUUGGAAUAGGACAUCAUAGAGGGUGAGAAUCCCGUAUUUGGUCAUUCCUCCUAGCGUUGUGAUACACUUUCAACGAGUCGGAUUGUUUGGGAAUGCAGUCCAAAAUGGGUGGUAAAUUUCAUCUAAAGCUAAAUAUUGGCGAGAGACCGAUAGCGAACAAGUACCGUGAGGGAAAGAUGAAAAGAACUUUGAAAAGAGAGUUAAACAGUACGUGAAAUUGUCAAAAGGGAAGCGUUUGACACCAGUGUUGUUUUUCCGAAAAUCAAUUACGAAUGUUUUAUUUUUGAGGAGUUAUGACUUCAUCGGCUUGCUCCUUUCUUUAUGAAACUUUCUUAAUGCACUUUUCGGUUAACAAGUCAACAUCAAUUUCUUUUGUUGUAAAAGAGUCAUUGGAAGGUGGCUUUCUUUUCGGAGAAAGUGUUUAUAGCCUUUGAUCUCUGCAACCGGAGAGACUGAGGUCUGCAGCGUAGACUCUUCGGGGUUAGAUACAUUUGUGCUAAGCUAUAGCUUUUUAUAGACAACUUGUUGACUAUAUUUAGUCUUGUAGCUUACUCGCUUAUGCUAUUUUACCUACGCUUAGGAUGUUGAGUAGCGACAUACGCAC